GAGUUUGAUCCUGGCUCAGGAUGAACGCUAGCUACAGGCUUAACACAUGCAAGUCGAGGGGCAGCAUGGUCUUAGCUUGCUAAGGCCGAUGGCGACCGGCGCACGGGUGAGUAACGCGUAUCCAACCUGCCUUACACUCUUGGAUAGCCUUCUGAAAGGGAGAUUAAUACAAGAUGUUAUCAUGAGUAAGCAUUUUCGCAUGAUUAAAGGUUUACCGGUGUAAGAUGGGGAUGCGUUCCAUUAGAUAGUAGGCGGGGUAACGGCCCACCUAGUCUUCGAUGGAUAGGGGUUCUGAGAGGAAGGUCCCCCACAUUGGAACUGAGACACGGUCCAAACUCCUACGGGAGGCAGCAGUGAGGAAUAUUGGUCAAUGGACGAGAGUCUGAACCAGCCAAGUAGCGUGAAGGAUGAAGGUUCUAUGGAUUGUAAACUUCUUUUAUACGGGAAUAAACGAAUCCACGUGUGGAUUUUUGCAUGUACCGUAUGAAUAAGGAUCGGCUAACUCCGUGCCAGCAGCCGCGGUAAUAC
rnacentral:rRNA from 1 species